UACGGGGGGGGCAAGCGUUGUUCGGAAUUACUGGGCGUAAAGGGCUCGUAGGUGGCCAACUAAGUCAUACGUGAAAGCCCCCGGCUCAACUGGGGAGGGUCACGCGAUACUGAUCGACUCGAAGGCAGGAGAGGGAAGUGGAAUUCCCGGUGUAGUGGUGAAAUGCGUAGAUAUCGGGAGGAACACCAGUGGCGAAGGCGACUUCCUGGCCUGUUCUUGACGCUGAGGCGCGAAAGCUAGGGGAGCAAACGGG
rnacentral:rRNA from 1 species